rnacentral:lncRNA from 1 species
UAAAACACAAAUUUACACCAUCCAUAUCAGUGCAUAAAACUCAUAGUAUUGGUAUCAGUAUCCAUCAUGACAAGAAAUCUAAAUACAAGACUCACACUAUCCAUAUCAGUAGUCAUUAUGCAGAAAAAUUUAGACACAAAACUCACACUAUCAGCAGGCAAAUGUCUAACAGAUACAAGAGGAAAAAUCCGGAAAUAAAAGAGAGCUUCGUCAUCCUUCACCAAUCAAAUUCCUAAACAAAAGUAUAUAUCCUCCAUUAACAAAACAUUUCACGGGAUCGAAUCUACAACAACAAGACAUACAAACACCGUCGCGGAAUCGAAUAAAAGACAUACACAAAGUAGUAUAAUACAAAAAAUAAAUCAUGUUGUUACCACGAUGUCGAAGGUUGUUGUCCUGAAUAGUCGGUUGAAGAAAUUUGACAUUGAGAUUUAUGCAAUAAAGCCGACAUGUAAUGCAACCAUAUUGAAAACCGAAACAAAUAUUAGAGCUAUAAGCAUGAUUUAACAGCCAGAACAGAACCAGAAUAUGAUACAAGUUCCUGUUUAUAACAGUAUUUUCAACAUUAUAAUAUCGAAUACCAAAACGGUAUAACCCAAUCAGAAAGGAAGUAAAUAUGCAAUUGAAACAGAAAUAUAAUCGAAACAUUUACACGUCGAAGUUGCGAAUGAUAUUCAAUUUUAAACGCGAUAACUUAAGCACACAACAACAACACGAUCACAUCAAAAAUACCCCGGAAAAGAACAUUACGACAUUCUAAUACCAACAAUCAACAUAGAUUAAUGCAACCAAAUCUAAAUCAAAACAGUGGCUAUAACCAACAACGUAAUAUCAAGGAAAACGCAACACAAACUUUUACUGUAACGCUAAACCACUUUAAUUCCGCAGCAAGAAAAUGAUAGCAUUAAACAUGUAACAAAUUCAUUGCAAUCAAUACCAAACUGCUUCAAUACAACUCAAUAUGAAGUUUAAUAUGUCUAUGAAAUCAACAUGAUGCGAUUAGCGGAACGUAAAGAGAAUAACAUUAAAAAAUAUUGGAUAUAACAAUAAACAAAAGCCUUGCCCAUAAGAGCCACUUCUCCAAACAGAAAACCAACUGGACAUGACAAAUGCAAGUAGCAAUUCAAAUUAUCGUAAUAACAAAAGCCUUCUAAAGUUGGUUACAACAACACCUUGGUAAGACAAUUUACAAACUAGAACACAAUAGGAAACCAGUAGAAAACAAUGAGGCCAUAGUCAUAUUCAAAAAACACUACCUAAUGGAAUCAAUCUCAGAACAUCCACACUCUAUAAUACUUGCAACAGUUUGUGACACAACAGAAAUCAAUAAAAAUUUAAUGUAAUAACAGAGUUAAUCUCAAAAUUACAACACCACAAGCAUACGAAAUUGAUAUUUUUACCGAAGCGGUGUCACUGCUGUUGUUUGUUGUCGUUGCGGAGUUGGAAGGUUUGUUGCUUGGUUUCGCCUGUUGGGGAAGAGAGAAUCUGCGUCGCGGUUGGUUGUGGUGAAUUUAGAAGAGCAAAUCGUGGCGGCGGCGAUGUCGGUGAACAGAGGUGGAUUCCCCUAAGUGUGAAGGAGUUCGGUUAUUGACACGACGGUGAGGUCUGGAAUUUAGCGCCGGAAUAUAUGAGGAAGACGGCGGAUGGUUCAAAGUUGACGGUGGUUGAGCGAUGAUGCGGCGAUGUAGUGGUGGCGAUUCACGGCGGUUAUUCUAGGUUGUUUCGGCGGAAGCGAAAAUGAGGUGUUAGUGUGGUGAAAGGGUGGAAGACGAUGGAGUAUUUGAAGAAGAGGAAUGGUGAUGGUUAAGGGUGAGACGCUCAGGGAAAGACCCAAAGGCUUCUUCUCUUUUUCCAUUUUUAAUCCUUUUCUUUAUUCUUUGAGAGAGAGAGUAAGUUAAUGUAUGUUGGUCCCUUUGUGAAGUCAGUAGAGAGAGUAAAAUAUAACAAUCUCCAACGGACAAAACCUUAUUCUUUUCUUUUUUUUAUUUUCGCUAGGAGAGACUGAUGGAGUGGGUAGAUAGGUGGCGUGUAGAGUGAGGGAAACGUGAGGUGAGAGAGAAAAGACAGAGUGGGAAGUGUGAAUACCAGCUGUAACAAAAUAGGAAUCCAAUGCUAAUUUCAUUUUAUUUUUUAAAACAACUACUAAUGUAGAGUGAGGGAAACGUGAGGUGAGAGAGAAAAGACAGAGUGGGAAGUGUGAAUACCAGCUGUAACAAAAUAGGAAUCCAAUGCUAAUUUCAUUUUAUUUUUUAAAACAACUACUAUUAUUUAAAGUUUCCUAUUAAAAAUUUAUAAUAAGUAUUUUGAUUUGAAUAAAUUUUAAUUACUUUAGUUGAAUAAUUAACUUUAAAAAAAUGAUCGAUUAUAAAUAAAAGUCGGAUAUAAAUUUGCUCGAAAAAUUAAAUCGGGCACACUAAAAUGAUAUGCACAAAAUAUACUUAUUGAAAAAAUACAGUGUUUCUUUAAAUUUUGAAAUAAAUUUUCAUCGAUUAAAAGGCUCAGGCGGGUCAAAACGCAACUGAAACAGCUGCUGAAAAAUACAACGAGCACACUAGGUUAAACUAAAUGAACCGUAGAUUAAUAAUACUGACGUCUACAAUUUUAAUUUUGAAACUUUUUACCCGCUAAUUUUGCACGUACUUGAGAAAUGAUUUAACCAAAUUGUCUGUAUUUUCAAGAAUUUAUUCCGACUGAUAUUUUAGAUAUUAUUAAUGAUGAAAUGCAUGUUAUGUUGUACAACUGAUGCAAAUUGAAAUAAAAAUCGAAUUUAUGAAAUUUUUAAAAUGCCCGGACAAAAUUGGGGUAUGUCAGCUGCCCCUAUUUCAUUAUCUUGAACUAGAAGGUAAGAAUGACAACAGUAUUCAUACAUUCGUAGUGGAAGGUAAUUAAAUACAAAAAGACCCAAAUUUUGUCCGUUGAAAUGCAAGGAAGAAAUGCAGAAACAAAAUGCAGUGAGAAAUACAAUAAGAAAAAGUUAUCAAAAAGGUAAAAUGAAACAGUCGAGACUCUAUGGGAAUCGUCAGAACAGUAUCUUGGAUGUCAUAAUCGAGAUAUUCCGGUAAUGGAAUGAUACCUCAACUGCAUCUAAGACUUUCUGGCAAAUCAGCAGAACAUCGUCUUGAUUUGAACGCACGAGAUUCUUUGAGGAUCAACGAAGCAGUACCUUACAUGAUAAAAUUAAGAUAUUCCAGACAAAAGGAAAGAUACCUUAAUUAAAUCUAAGACUCUUCGAGGAUACCUAGAGCAGUAUCUCUAAAAAAAAUCUAAAAUGAGACUCUUCAUAUUGAUGAAGCAGCAUCUCAAACAGUAAAAGUGAGAUUCUCUGUAUCGGGUCGAAGCAGCAUCUUAUAUGAUAGAAUUAAGAUGUUCUAGCAAGGGAAAAAAUACCUUAAUUGAAUCUAAGACUCUCCGAGGAUAUUAGAGCAGUAUCUCUAAAAAAAUCUGAAAUGAGACUCUUCAUAUUGAUGAAGCAUUAUCUCAAACAGUAAAAAUGAGAUUCUCUGUAUCGGGUCGAAGCAACAUCUUAUAUGAUAGAAUUAAGAUGUUCCAGCAAGGGAAAAAUACCUUAAUUGAAUCUAAGACUCUCCGAGGAUAUUAGAGCAGUAUCUCUAAAAAAAUCUGAAAUGAGACUCUUCAUAUUGAUGAAGCAGCAUCUCAAACAGUAAAAAUGAGAUUCUCUGUAUCGGGUCAAAGCAGCAUCUUAUAUGAUAGAAUUAAGAUGUUCCAGCAAGGGAAAAAUACCUUAAUUGAAUCUAAGACUCUCUGAGGAUACUUAGAGCAGUAUCUCUAGAAAACAAAUUAGAUUCUUCAAAUUGAUGAAGCAAUAUCUCAAACAGUAAAAAUGAGAUUCUCUAUAUCGAGUCGAAACAACAUCUUAUAUGAUAGAAUUAAGAUAUUCCAGCAAGGGAAAAAAAUACCUUAAUUGAAUCUAAGACUCUCCGAGGAUACUUAGAGCAGUAUCUCUAAAAAAAUUUGAAAUGAGACUCUUCAUAUUGAUGAAGCAGCAUCUCAAACAGUAAGAAUGAGAUUCUCUGUAUCGGGUCGAAGCAGCAUCUUAUAUGAUAGAAUUAAGAUGUUCCAGCAAGGAAAAAAUACCUUAAUUGAAUCUAAGACUCUCCGAGGAUACUUAGAGCAGUAUCUCUAAAAAAAUCUGAAAUGAGACUCUUCAUAUUGAUGAAGCAGCAUCUGAAAUAGUAAGAAUGAGAUUCUCCAGAUAAAUGAAGCAAUAUCUCGAAUAUUCGUCUGUUGGGGGAAAUUUUUAAGAAAAGACUCCUUUUGAGAGAGAUUUACUAGAAAUGCUCUGCAGGGGAAAAGCUCAUAAGAGACUUUUUAGGGUAACCUCUGCUUGGGGAGCAAUGAUUGUAAAGAAAAAUGCUGGAAUAUCAUUUUUAAUCAUAAAGUUGAACAAUGAUUUGCUGAGAAAUAAUUCCACGAGCACAUGCAGGAUAAUAACUUUAUAGAAUUUAAAUGAAAAGUGUCCGGGAUACAUAUGAAUGGCCAUGGAUCCUGAUAUUUUGGUGUGAUCUGUGUACGAUGUUCCCCUUCGGGUGGGAAUACCAUGCAUGGGAUGAUGCAUGAGAUGCAUGCAAGUAUGCAAUUGUUGGGGAUAUUUGGUUGUGCAUGUAGGAAUGCAAAUGCUUUUUAUUUUGUUGAAAUUCCCAUUUUGUGGGAGUGUUAUGCAUGAGUAUGUUGAUGAUUGAUAUGAUUGUGCUUUUUUGAAUUUUCUAUUUGGUAGGAAAACCAUGUAUGGAUGAUUCGUGUGAUGCAUGUGGGAAUGCAACUGGGUAAUUGGAUGUUUUUAUAGGGUUUAAUUCUUGACUGCCAAUGAGGUUGGACUUUAUAUGGGAACUGCCAGAUGAGGACAGAACUUGAAGGAUAUGUUAUCAGACGAGAGCUGGAGAAAAUAAUUGAAAUGUCAGACGGGACUGAAUUUGUUUUUGUUUAUCAGACAGGAACUGAUUUUUAAAGUAGGCUACCAGACGAGAACUGGUGAAAAUAAUUGACUACUAGACGAGAACUAGUAUCAAAAUAGGUGACCUACCAGACGAGAACUGGUAUUAAGAGAUAAUUUACCAGACGAGAACUGGUAUUUGGCAAAUGAUUUGUCGUAUAAGAACUGAUUUUUGAUAUAGUUUGCCAAACGGGAACUGGACUUUGGAAUAAGUUGCCAGACGAGAACUGGACUUUGAAAUAAAUUGCCAGACGGGAACUAGGCUUUGAAAUAAAUUGCCAAACGGGAAUUGGGCUUUGAAAUAAAUUGCCAGGCGGGAACUGGUUUUUUUGAGGAAGGUUUGCCAGACGGGAAUUGGGCUUUUGAAAUAAGUUGCCAGACGGGAACUGGGCUUUGAAAUGAAUUGCCAGACGAGAAUUGGACUUUGAAAUAAAUUGCCAGACGAGAACUGGACUUUGAAAUGGCCAAGCGAUGUUGGGCUUUGGUGUCAGAUUUUGUGUUUCAAGGCUUUUUGAUGACAGGUUCAUGUUAUGGUAUUAGGCCCGAUGAAUGUUAUGAUAUGCAUGGUUUUAUCUUAGAGCAAAGUGGCAUGACUAAUGCAUGAUAAUGAUUUAUGUAAUGAUUUGCAGGUUUUCAAAAUGCCCAUGCGUGGGUAUUGGAAGAGAAGGUUCUUUGCAGAAAGGCUUCUGUCUGUCAAAAGGUUAUUUUAUGGGGUGGUAGCAUGAUUCCCCGACACUCAUCUUGGAUUAUGCAUUUGCUGACUUGCAAAAAAACUUUUGCUUGAACUUCUUGAAAACAUGGAGAGGACUUGCUCCUGUGUGCCUCAAUCUUGCCCCAAUGUGAUGGGUCUAUGCAAAAUGUUUAUCUCGAAAGGAUUUUGAAAGCAAUUGUACCAUAAUUUGGAGAUGGAUUGCCCCAGAAUUUUGAUCCAUGAAAGGAUUUAUCCUUGGUUAACCGACUCUUGGAGUGGUUGACUUUUCUAUCCUCUUGAGGUAGUUUGCCCCAGUAUGAGCGUUGAAGCGAAUUAACUCACCCUAUCUGAACAUUGAAGGGGUUUGCCCCUGGCCAACAGAACCUCUAGGUGAUAUGCCCCUAGUUAAUAGAGUCCUGAGAUGAUUUGCUAUAGAUCAACUGAUCCUUGAAAUGACUUGCCCCUGAUUAAUAGAUGUUUGGAGAUUGUUUAAGACUGACCAAUUCUUGGAGUAAUCUUCCUAUGAUCAACUGAUGUUUAGGUGGCAUGCACCUGAUUCGUGGGUUAUGAGGUAGUCUUGAUUCGGGUUAGCACUAACAAAUGUCCAAGUUCCUCUAAUUGCUUCCUUAUUGUUGGAACUUUCGCCUGACGUCAAGUACUGACUUGCAGUUAAAAUUGCUUGUUCAGAAAUGGUAAUUUUAAUGCGAUACUCAUGCAAGUUUUGAAAAGAAUUUAUUUGAAUGAUGUGAUAAUGUGUGACGAGUGGACCCUGGGUCCAAAUCUAAUGCUGAUUUAGCAAUUUAAAGUGUGAAAGACACAGCGAGAAUAAUGACAUUGAUGUUGAAUAUUAGCAAAUCCUUAGGAGUCAGUUUACGCAACUUUGUUGUAAUAUGCUUUCGGAAAUAACCCUACCUCAAUUAGGUCUUUUGAGGGUUGUAACAUGGCUUGGUUCAUGGUUUUUGAAACAAAGGAUGUAAGGCUCAAAUUUUGUUUUAACCCACCCAUUCUUCAUGAUGAACUCCAAUCCUACGCUCAGUUAAUUCAACAUACACAUUCAACUUUUAAGAGAGUUUGCAGGUGUAAGAUCUCUUGAAAUGACAGUCACUUAUUUCGCUCUUUGUGGAUGUUGGUGACCUUUUGAUUUGGAUAUGGUGGUCAUUAAAUCUUAUUUUGUUUUGUUGAGGGCUUUCGUGACCUCCUUUGAUUUUUUUUUUGAUCCCUAACUUUUGCAUGGACCGCUUUUUGAAGCUUUAGUCCAUCGAGAUUGCCCCUAUUUUUUACCUAAGUCGUAUCUUUGUGUGUUCGACUUAGCGGGCUUUUUUAUUUAUUUUAUUUUUUAGAAUUGUGACUGCCAAGUCAUUGGUCAUUUGAAGAACAAUCCAACAUAACCUUUGGAUUUUUCAAGGUUCCUUAGAUGCUUCGGGAUGUGUGCAAAUAAUAUCAUGUGGUUGAUCUACAGACGGGAUGCUUCGUCUUGUAAUUUGAAUGUGUAGUCAGAUUAACUGAACACUACCCUACCCCAGGUUUAAUGUAAGGUUUUUCAGAUCCGAAAGAAACUCCUACUUCUAGGCUCGAAGUGGUUGACCAGGGAUUAACUCCUUAUCCUUCCAGUGUUUGGGAAUUUGAAACAAUGCUUGUACAUCAUCAGCAUGAUUUUAUCUGAAAGUAUAUAGUCAACAAUUAUGGGUAACUUGUUUUCAUCAUCCUCCCUCAAAUCUCUGCUAAAACAAAGGUUAUGAUAAAGAAAAGCGAAUGGGUGAAACAUUGAUGUAUUUUUGUUUUUGAUAUAAGAGGAGAAAUAUGAGCGAAUGCGAGAUAAUUAAUUCAAAACAUGCAUCAUUACUUCAUCAAUAUUACCAUUAAAAACAACAAUGUUUAAACACAAGCAGCUUUUAACAACAAAGAAACUACAAAUGCAAAAAUAUAACAAAUCAGUCCAACGAUGCCAGUGUUGAGGAUUCUUCCUGUCUGAACUACCGGCAUUAGGAGAUACUCUAUGAAAUCUUUGAACUCAUUCUGACGAGAGGUUUACGUGCACCAACUGGCUUCCUUCUGAAAAGGAUAUGUACCUUUUGUCGAUCAAUUGUUGCACUUUAGCCUUGAAAGCAUUGUAGUCUUCAUGUGAUGCCCUAUUGUUCUGGCAUGAUAUCCACAUUGCACAUCAGGAUCAUAUCUAGUGGGUAGAGGUUGGGUAGGACCAUUUACUGGAGCUGGAAUAACAUCUCUACGACUGCAGUCUGUUGAAUGUUGUCCUCCCUCUUUUUUAAAGCUAAUCAAGCCUCCACAAGUUGGUCUAUCUGGUUUUUCAUCGAGUCAACAUCUCCUCUUAAUGCAAUGUGAUUUUGCUCCAAUGGAUCCAUGGUUUUUCAAGAGCUACUUUAAGUCUGAUAUAAGUGUCGAGAAAUCAACUGCAGGUUAUGGACGAAGGAUGGAUGAGUUUUUUUGUAUUUAUUUUUUGGUGAAAAAUGAUAUGCAAUGCAUGACGAUUGCAGACGCAAUGAUACGUAUAUGAGUGUAGUGACAUGUUUAGGAUCACAAGUUCAAGGUGUUCUCAGAUGGAUCAGAAUAACGGGUAAAUAACGGGUAUCUCUGAUUAAUGGAAACCCCAUGGGUAGGCUCUACAGUUGGUAGGUUCCUACAGUCACGGAUAUUUCUUGAGAACGUCACUGAUGUGACGAAGACUCGUCGGACAAUAAUAUCCUUAAGAUGAUCUCGUCUAGGUGAGGUCUUCGUAUUGUCCCAACAAGGAAAAGUCCAUGGGGAUUCUACUACACAACUCUCGAGUCCAAGGUUCUAACAAGGUUCUAAGAGUCAUAGAUCGAGGUUGGAAAUAUUACUGUAAGAUAGUAAUACGUCCAAGGGAUCUCAUCUGAUUGGGGCUUUCGUAUUAACCCAACAAGUCUGAAACUUCGUAGGUUAAUACUACAUAACCGCAUAUUACUGUAAGAUAGUAAUACGUCCAAGGGAUCUCAUCUGAUUGGGGCUUUCGUAUUAACCCAACAAGUCUGAAACUUCGUAGGUUAAUACUACAUAACCGCCAGAUAUAGUGGGUUAAAAGGUCCUUAGAGUCAUUGAUCCAACUUGAGAAUACUAUCGUCGUGACGAAGACUCGUCGGGAAAUAAUAUCUCAAGAGAAUCUCCUCUAGGUGGGGUCUUCGUAUCUUCCCAACAAGGAAGACUCCUUGUGGGCGUCCACUACGCAACCACCAUCUUAAACUUAUGGUUUUUCUCAGACUCGGGUGGGGAGCCUAUCUCAUAAAGUAUCACCAACCAGAGAGCCCCAAAUAAGACAUAGUCAAUAAAUCACAAUACAAUAAUUACAAUAGAAUAAUAAUAACAGAAUAAAAAUAACAGACAAACAAACAAGAUUAACACACAAUACAAAAACUGAACUAAAUUAGGCUUCACUCUCUUUUGCUUGGAGCUUGUCCCCAGCAGAGUCGCCAUUUGUCGUAUCUCGAAAAAUACAAUUCCUCGCGAUGGUCGCGGAAAAAAUCAUGUUCAAACAGAGUCGCCACCGAACUUUAUUUAUCCCAAUGAAGGGAUAGGAAAAUAUCGAUAAAACCUUUAGGAAAUGGAAUAAUGGUCAUCGCAACCAUAUUCGGGUUCGGGAGUGGAUUACGUAAGGGGAAGGUAUUAGCACCCCUUACAUCCGUUGUACUCAACGGGAACCUUUAGUUUCUAAUGUGCGUUUCGUGUGUUAAUUAUUUUGUUUGUUAUCUUUGGGUUAAUAAAUGUUGAAAUAGAAAAGGAUGGAACCUCAUAAAGGAGAAAGGGGAGGUUUUUUUAUUAGUGUGCUCACGAAGAUACAACAAUCUCCUGCCUACGUAUCCUUAUGGUGCAAUAAGGAAAUCAGAGCAUUCGUAGUUCGGGGAACUACGGUUGGUUGGUGUCUUUUAGUGAACAACUGUUUUAAAUCGCGUUGUAAAGGCUAACGCUGGCUUGUCUUCUCUCGGUGGAGGCUUAAGCAUUGGUUGUUGUGCGCAAUAGAAAGGAUUAAACAAGUUCUUUCUAAAAAGAGGUUUUGGUCACACGGGGGUGACGAGUUGAAUUAAUAUGUUGGGUGUUUUGAUUGGCUGAGAUGUUUUUGGUUGGAUGACGAUUACUCGGAUAGCCGAGUAAGACAACUCGUAUCCUAACAGUCGGGAAAGGGAAUAAAAGACUUUAGACCACUUUCUUUUUCAUCCUUAAUUGUGAAAGGAUCUUAAUGAUGAUUAAGGUAUUUUAAAUGGAUGACGAAUACUCAGAUAAUCAAGUAAGACAACUCGUAUCCUAAUAAUCGGGAAAGGGAAUAGAAGACUCUAGACCGUUUUCUUUUUCAUCUGAGUGAUUAUGAAAAUAGGUUUGUGUAUGAUUGAUAUAUUUUAGAAUGAACGACAAGUACUUGAAUGACUGAGUAAGACAACUCAUAUCCAAGCAUUUGAGAAAGGGAAUUGAAAACUCAAGACCAUCUCUCUUUUCGUACAGUUUUGAUUGAUUUAUUGAUUUGCGGAAAAAUGACAAUUGUUCGACUAACCGAGUAAGAGAACUCAUAUUCAAACAGAUGAGGAGAGAAGUUGAAAACUCAAAGUCAUCUCCCUUUUCAUUUAACUUAUUAUGAAAAUAAUUUGAUUUAAUCGGGUUUAGAAGUUUGUAACGAAAUGACGAGUGUUUAACUGACCGAGUAAGAAAACUCGUAUUCAAACAAUUGAGGAGAGAAGUUGAAGACUCAAAGUCAUCUCCUUUUUCAUUUCAUUAUUAUAAAAGUGUUUUGAUUUAAUCGGGGUUUGUGCUUAAGUGGAUUAGAGAUGACAAUCAUUCGAUUAACCGAGUAAAAGAAUUCGUAAACAAUCGAGGAGAGGAGUUGAAAACUCAAAAUCAUCUCCUUUUUCGUAUGGUUUGAAAAUGAUUAGGAAUUUGCUAUAGUGAUCAAUCUUUAAUUAACAAAAAAUAUUAAUUAAAAUUUAACUAAACCACUUAAUUAAUAUAAUCAAAAUUAAUCAUCAAAAUUAUUUGAUUAAAUCAAAUAUUCAAGGUAAUUAAAACUAAUUAUUAAAAUUAACUAAUUUAAAUGAAUUUUAAUUAACUGAUAUAUAUACCUAGAACAAAGUUGACUUGAAUAAUUGAAGCGACUUAACGCACAAUGUGCUCAAAGUCGGUUCGUACAUAGCGACAAUGGUAUUGAAAUGUCGUACGUAAUGGACCGGAACGCGGCAAAAUCGUAUCGAUUUAUCAAAAGAAAAUCUGACAUCAUUACAACAUAUAUAAAUGUUGAAUCGAUGGAUUAAAAUUCGAUUUCUUAAGAAAAGUUUUGAUUAAAAAUAACUUAAAUGUAUUUUAGACAUAAAACUAGCCCUUAAGUUCAAAACAUUAAGAUUAAAAUUCGAUUUCUUAAGAAAAGUUUUGAUUAAAAAUAACUUAAAUGUAUUUUAGACAUAAAACUAGCCCUUAAGUUCAAAACAUUACAAAAAGAGUUACCUAAAUCGAUAAGAAACAAACCAUAAUUUAUAGAUUAAAUUAACCUAUUACUUAAACCUAUAGAAAAACACCCAAUAAAUAAAUAGAGGAUAAAAAAGCUAAACUUAGAAAAACUUAAUGAUUUCUAACUUUUAAUUAUUAUUUUACAAAGCAAAAUUUCUUACUUGAAUGAAAAUGAUAAUUAAGAAUUAAAAAGAACAAGAGAAAAGUCAAUCAUUUAUUUUCCAUCACCACACUAUUAAUGCUACAAAAUAUCAUGAUCCAUAUUCACACUACCAGUACUAUGAUAAAUUAUAUAAAACACAAAUUUACACCAUCCAUAUCAGUGCAUAAAACUCACAGUAUUGGUAUCAGUAUCCAUCAUGACAAGAAAUCUAAAUACAAGACUCACACAAUCCAUAUCAAUAGUCAUUAUGCAAAAAAAAUUAGACACAAAACUCACACUAUCAGCAGGCAAAUCUCUAACAGAUCCAAGAGGAAAAAUCCGGAAAUAAAAGAGAGCUUCGUCAUCCUUCACCAAUCAAAUUCAUAAACAAAAGUAUAUAUCCUCCAUUAACAAAAUGUUUCACGGGAUCGAAUCUACAACAACAAGACAUACAAACAC